rnacentral:rRNA from 1 species
UAAUUUUAAAAAAUUUUUUAAAAAAAAAUAAUUAUUAGUUAAAUAAUAAAUUAAAAUAAUUAAAAAUUUUUUAAAUUAAUUGAAUUUAAUAAAUUUUAUAAAAAACUAGGAUUAGAUACCCUACUAUUUAAACUAAAAAUUUAAAUUAAACUAUUAAAUAUUAAUUUAUUAAAUUUAAAAAAAUUGACGGUAUUUUUAAUUUAGAUGAACUUGAAAUUUAAUUUGAUAAUCCACAAUUUAAUAAACUAAUUUUAUAUUUUUAUAUAUUACUGCUUAAAUUUAAUUUUUUAAUUAUAAUUAAAUUUUAUUAAUUAAUAGAUAAUUCAAGUCAAAAUAUAAAUACAAAUUAGAAUAUUUGAGUUACUUUAAAAUUUAAAAAAUAAAAUUUAUAAAUAUUAUUAAUAUUUUAAUUAUAUUUAAAUAAAUAAAAUUAGAAUUUAAUAAUAAAAAUUUUUAUAUAAAAAUUUUAAAAUUUUUUAAAAAAUAUGUACAUAUUGCCCGUCAUUUUUAUAAAUUUUAAAAAUUUAUAAAACAAGUCGUAACAAAGUAAUUUUACUGGAAAGUAAAAUUAGAAUU